rnacentral:rRNA from 1 species
CGGCAGCGGGUCCAGCAAUGGAUGCCGGCGAGUGGCGCACGGGUGCGUAACGCGUAUGCAAUCUACCUUUAACUGGGGGAUAGCCCCGAGAAAUCGGGAUUAAUACCCCAUAAUAUUGAGAAGGGACACCUCUUUUCAAUUAAAGCUCCGGCGGUUUUAGAUGAGCAUGCGUGACAUUAGCUAGUUGGUGAGGUAACGGCCCACCAAGGCGACGAUGUCUAGGGGUUCUGAGAGGAUUUUCCCCCACACUGGUACUGAGACACGGACCAGACUCCUACGGGAGGCAGCAGUAAGGAAUAUUGGUCAAUGGGCGAGAGCCUGAACCAGCCAUCCCGCGUGCAGGAAGACGGCCCUAUGGGUUGUAAACUGCUUUUUUAUGGGAAGAAAAAGCUCUACGUGUAGGGCACUGACGGUACCAUAUGAAUAAGCAUCGGCUAACUCCGUGCCAGCAGCCGCGGUAAUACGGAGGAUGCGAGCGUUAUCCGGAUUUAUUAGGUUUAAAGGGUGUGUAGGCGGAUGAUUAAGUCAGUGGUGAAAUCUCACAGCUUAACUGUGAAACUGCCAUUGAUACUGGUUAUCUUGAGUACAGUUGAAGUAGGCGGAAUGUGUAAUGUAGCGGUGAAAUGCUUAGAUAUUACACAGAACACCGAUUGCGAAGGCAGCUUACUGGGCCAUUACUGACGCUGAUGCACGAAAGCGUGGGGAGCGAACAGGA